AUUGAACGCUGGCGGCAUGCCUUACACAUGCAAGUCGAACGGUAACAGGUCUUCGGAUGCUGACGAGUGGCGAACGGGUGAGUAAUACAUCGGAACGUGCCCGAUCGUGGGGGAUAACGCAGCGAAAGCUGUGCUAAUACCGCAUACGAUCUACGGAUGAAAGCGGGGGAUCGCAAGACCUCGCGCGGACGGAGCGGCCGAUGGCAGAUUAGGUAGUUGGUGGGAUAAAAGCUUACCAAGCCGACGAUCUGUAGCUGGUCUGAGAGGACGACCAGCCACACUGGGACUGAGACACGGCCCAGACUCCUACGGGAGGCAGCAGUGGGGAAUUUUGGACAAUGGGCGCAAGCCUGAUCCAGCCAUGCCGCGUGCAGGAUGAAGGCCUUCGGGUUGUAAACUGCUUUUGUACGGAACGAAAAGCUCUCUCUAAUACAGGGGUGAAUGACGGUACCGUAAGAAUAAGCACCGGCUAACUACGUGCCAGCACGG
rnacentral:rRNA from 1 species